rnacentral:rRNA from 1 species
AUGCAGUCGAACGAUGAAGCCGCUUCGGUGGUGGAUUAGUGGCGAACGGGUGAGUAACACGUGGGCAAUCUGCCCUGCACUCUGGGACAAGCCCUGGAAACGGGGUCUAAUACCGGAUAUGACUACCGAUCGCAUGGUUGGUGGUGGAAAGCUCCGGCGGUGCAGGAUGAGCCCGCGGCCUAUCAGCUUGUUGGUGGGGUGAUGGCCUACCAAGGCGACGACGGGUAGCCGGCCUGAGAGGGCGACCGGCCACACUGGGACUGAGACACGGCCCAGACUCCUACGGGAGGCAGCAGUGGGGAAUAUUGCACAAUGGGCGAAAGCCUGAUGCAGCGACGCCGCGUGAGGGAUGACGGCCUUCGGGUUGUAAACCUCUUUCAGCAGGGAAGAAGCGAGAGUGACGGUACCUGCAGAAGAAGCGCCGGCUAACUACGUGCCAGCAGCCGCGGUAAUACGUAGGGCGCGAGCGUUGUCCGGAAUUAUUGGGCGUAAAGAGCUCGUAGGCGGCUUGUCACGUCGGAUGUGAAAGCCCGGGGCUUAACCCCGGGUCUGCAUUCGAUACGGGCAGGCUAGAGUUCGGUAGGGGAGAUCGGAAUUCCU